GUAGGUGGCAAGCGUUGUCCGGAAUUAUUGGGCGUAAAGCGCGCGCAGGUGGGGUCUUUAAGUCUGAUGUGAAAGCCCCCGGGCUCAACCGGGGAGGGUCAUUGGAAACUGGGGAACUUGAGUGCAGGAGAGGAAAGUGGAAUUCCACGUGUAGCGGUGAAAUGCGUAGAUAUGUGGAGGAACACCAGUGGCGAAGGCGACUUUCUGGCCUGUAACUGACACUGAGGCGCGAAAGCGUGGGGAGCAAACAGGAUUAGAUACCCUGGUAGUCCACGCCGUAAACGAUGAGUGCUAAGUGUUGGGGGGGUUUCCGCCCCUCAGUGCUGCAGCUAACGCAUUAAGCACUCCGCCUGGGGAGUACGGCCGCAAGACUG
rnacentral:rRNA from 1 species